rnacentral:rRNA from 1 species
GACGAACGCUGGCGGCGUGCUUAACACAUGCAAGUCGAACGGAAAGGCCCUGCUUUUGUGGGGUUCUCGAGUGGCGAACGGGUGUGUAACCUGUGAGUAUCCCGCCCUUUACUUUGGGAUAACUUCAGGCAACCGCGGCUACUACCGGCUAGGAGCUCCUGCUGCAUGGUGGGGGUUGGAAAGUUCCGGCUGAUGGGGAUGGACUCGCGGCUUAUCAGCUUGUUGGUGGGGUAGUGGCUUACCAAGCCUUUGACGGGUAGCCGGCCUGGGAGGUUGACCGGCGACAUUGGUACUAAGAGACGGCGCAGACUCCAACGGGAGGCAGCGGGGGGGAAUAUUGCACAAUGGGCGGGAGCCUGAUGCAGCAACGCCGCGUGCGGGAUGACGGCCUUCGGGUGGUAAACCGCUUUCACCUGUGACGAAGCGGGAGUGACGGUAAUGGGUAAAGAAGCACCGGCUAACUACGUG